CCUACGGGAGGCAGCAGUGGGGAAUUUUGGACAAUGGACGCAAGUCUGAUCCAGCCAUUCCGCGUGCAGGACGAAGGCCUUCGGGUUGUAAACUGCUUUUGUACAGAACGAAAAGGUCUCUAUUAAUACUAGGGGCUCAUGACGGUACUGUAAGAAUAAGCACCGGCUAACUACGUGCCAGCAGCCGCGGUAAUACGUAGGGUGCAAGCGUUAAUCGGAAUUACUGGGCGUAAAGCGUGCGCAGGCGGUUAUAUAAGACAGAUGUGAAAUCCCCGGGCUCAACCUGGGAACUGCAUUUGUGACUGUAUAGCUGGAGUGCGGCAGAGGGGGAUGGAAUUCCGCGUGUAGCAGUGAAAUGCGUAGAUAUGCGGAGGAACACCGAUGGCGAAGGCAAUCCCCUGGGCCUGCACUGACGCUCAUGCACGAAAGCGUGGGGAGCAAACAGGAUUAGAUACCCUGGUAGUCCACGCCCUAAACGAUGUCAACUGGUUGUUGGGUCUUCACUGACUCAGUAACGAAGCUAACGCGUGAAGUUGACCGCCUGGGGAGUACGGCCGCAAGGUUGAAACUCAAAUGAAUUGACGG
rnacentral:rRNA from 1 species